GAUGAAGAACGCAGCGAAAUGCGAUAAGUAGUGUGAAUUGCAGAAUUCAGUGAAUCAUCGAAUCUUUGAACGCACAUUGCGCCCCAUGGUAUUCCGUGGGGCAUGCCUGUUCGAGCGUCUUUUACCCCCUCAAGCUCCGCUUGGUGUUGGGCGUCUGUCCCGCUUCGCGCGCGGACUCGCCCCAAAGGUAUUGGCAGCGGUCGUGCCAGCUUCUCGCGCAGCACAUUGCGCUUCUCGAGGCACCGGUGGGCCCGCGUCCAUCAAGCUCACCCCCCCAGUUUGACCUCGGAUCAGGUAGGGAUACCCGCUGAACUUAAGCAUAUCAAUAAGCGGAGGA
rnacentral:misc_RNA from 1 species